GUGAAAUCUGUCUUGAGACAAUGGGAUCCCAUGAAGGGACACGAAGGAGGCAGCGCUGAAGGGGAUAGGGAUCCUUCUUUUCCUCCUGGCAUGGAUACGCACGUGGAUAUUGCACCCCCUGGAUGCCAUGCCAUUUCCUUAUGAUACGGUAACCUACUUGCUAAGCUGCGCUUGCAAAGGUGCUCGGGUUUAAACAAGUACACCCUGACCCUCCUGAAGCCUCCAUCCCACUGUGACCUGGCAGGUCGCAAUCCUGCUGGCUUUCCUUUGCUAUGUUACUUUCUCACAGAACUGCCUCUGCUCUCCUAGAAAAUAAAUAACAUGAAAAAGACUGCUCUCUUUGUAUUCAGCUAAUGAGGGAAAUGGACCAGGUGGGGACUCAGGAGAUCCGAAUUCUGUUCCCCACACUGCCACAGGCUUCCUGUGUGACUGUAGCUUCCCACACAGCCUUUCAACAUUCACCCAAACAGAAUGGAGAAAAGAGAGCAAGCAUGAUUUCAAACAGCGAGCCCAUGGUGCCAGAACACCGGUCAUCAAAGGAGCUGGACCCCAGCUGCUGGAUGAGAGCAUCAGUGACACCAACACGCUGCUGCCUGCAUGUGGCUACGUGCAGUCGGGGUGACGCCAUCCCUACUUCCUUCCAGCUGGAAAACUCCACUGCAGUAUUCCUUCAAUGGUUUUGUGUCUGUUCCCUCACACUGCACAGGACAGAGCCUGUCAGGGCGCGGGGAAGCCAAGGACAAGCAGCGACUGAGGGGGCAUCACCAUGAAGACAGAGAGAGCCUCCCCUGGGGCUCACAGCAAAUCCACAAGAAGAAUGAUCAUGGACACCAAGCUGUUUCAGGCACUGGAAAGGCUGAAGGUGACUGACUGAUCUGUGCAAUGUACAGCUACAAAUCCUGAGCUAGUGAUGUGCCACUUUUCUACAAAGAUAAACAAAACAUGCUUCUACUCUGUGUAAUUUUCCACAAUGCCCUGAACUCUGCAGGUGACAGCCUGGUCAACAGAAUAGAGCCAACUCUGUGUACACACACUGAUGAGAAUUUAAUACACAGUUGUGACAGAUGAGGAUAUUUUUCAAAGCUAUCAUUUGUGUACUGGAGCAUUUUAAAUGUUUCUUACCUGAGGCAACCUGACGAUAAUUACUCCUAUUCUUCGCAGCUGCAAACACCUUCAAAAUGAAGGCAAAGUUCCAGCUGAGCCUGAUGUACAAACACCAGCUCCACCUCUAAGGAAUGCAAAGUAUUCAAUGAACCUACUCAUGCAACUUGUUGAACAAAGAUGAGUUAUUUGCCAUGUACACAGCUUUGGACAACUGUGUCACUUUUUUUUCUGUUCCUGGGCAAAGACCCACCUAAG
ensembl:lncRNA